GAAGGUGGAACCUUAUGGAAGGUGAUUAGGUCACAGGAAUAGAGCCCUCCUGAAGGGCUUCUGUCCUCUUUCAGGGGACCAAAAUGCAGCUGCCUUGUUCCUUCCAUGUGAGACAAAGCAAGAAGUGAAUCACAGGCUUUUUGGACAGGGAGAGGGAGAGGGCAAGAUGUAGCUAUUAGUGUCUUCCAUUUAUAUGGCAAGCAAGCUGAGGAACCCAUGAAGAGCAAGUCGGAAAGUAUCUUUUGAUACAGAAGCCAGAAAUUCUUCCACGGUUGCUGCCUCUGUUCCUGCUUGAGUUCCUGCCCCGAUUUCCCUCAGGAAGGGCUCUGUAAUCACGAUGUGUAAAGCAAGCAACCCCAUUUCUCUCCAGUUUAAACCACCACCACCACAACAAAAUGAGCCACAAAACAGACAUUUGGCAUAGCGGUAGAAAGCCGGCCAAUCCAGUGAUGCAUCCAGAGAGGACAAAGAGGGACACCCCCUCUUCUCCACAUCUCACAGUGUAAACGUCUUUCCUGAUGGGUUUUUAUAACCAUAUAUCCUUCAUAAUAAACCAGUUCAGCUCCGUAGGCCCUGUUACAACAAAGGCUGCUCCCACAACAGAAAGUACAAGUAGGUGGUCAACUUCAGUGGCAGCUAGCUGUACAGUACCAUCUCAGCGGGCACACAAGAUAAACAAGUCUUCAGGGCAUGGCUACCUUCACCUGAAUGCCAAAGAAUGGCCAAGGGUGUCUCAGGACCCAGAAAGGAAACAGUGAAGGUGUAGACUUAGAGUCACACAGCCCACUCAGAUCAUGUCCAGUGGAGCCAUGGGCUCCAUGAGACCUCAGGACAGAAGGGCCAUUAGCAUAUCAUCCCACUGUGAAAGCUACAGGCAUACAAUAUCAACAGAGCCACAAAAAUCAACCCUGGGCGCAAGCCCACCAACCAAGAAGCUCUAGAAGGUGUGACCUCUACUCUGGUGAUCCCAAGAGGCAGAGCCUUGAGACAAAGAUUGUUUUCCAGGUGAAAGACUUUGGACCUUCUGAGAAUGCUUGACUCCUGCCUUCUUGUCUGCUUCUCCCUUUGGACUGGGAAUGCCCAGCUCUUGACUGUCCUGUAAGUGUAGUCAGGACACCUAUAAAAUGUCUGGUUCCAUGGGUUCACAGCUGGAAAGCAAUGCACCCCAGGAUAAACAGCACCUCGUACUGUCAUCCAUGGCUGAUUAAGUGAUACUGAGAAAAGACCUCGGAUGGCUGGAAUGUGGGUCUGGAGUGCCUGUCACUGGACUGUUGCAAUCCUAACCUCAAGUGGACGAUAGGAGGAAUAAUGGGUCUCUUCUGGGAAGUGACGGAGAGUAGAAACAUCAUCCAUGAGAUCAGUAGAUGAUCAAAGGCCUGGAGUUGCUUGGUCACUUCCACUGUGUGCAGACACAGUGCAAAAGGAACUGUUUGUACACCAUGAAUUAACUUCUCACCAGCCAUGGAAUCUGACAGCACUGUGAUUUGACAUCCCAGCUGACAAAUCGAUCAGAAAUAAAUUCCCAUUUCUAAGCCA
rnacentral:lncRNA from 1 species